UUUUGAAGCGAUCUUAAAUAAUAAAUCAUUUAUUUCGAUAAGGAUUAAUACUAAGGUACAAAUAAAGAGCCUUUUCAAGUAGUGGUAUUUUAAUAAUUUUUUUAUAUAAAAUCGUUUAUUGUGACAAAACUAUAAUAGUUAGAGAUAUGAUGUCCCGACGUUUUUUGUAGAUAAUGAUAAGUUCUAUAAAAUUGUAGUACAUCACUUUGUUAUAUCUACAAUCGUUUUCGCAGCAUUCACGAUUAAAUAAAGUUUUUUGGUAGUUUUUUUACAUUAUCGGAGUUUUGGUUAGGAACCCUAUUUUUUUUUUUAACUAAAUAUAGCCUAUGUCACUCAGGGAUAGUAUAGCUUUCCAACGGUGAAAGAAUUUUUCAAAUCGGUUCAGUAGUUUCGGAGCCUAUUCGAGACAAACAAACAAAAAAACAAACCUUUCCUCUUUAUAAUAUUAGUAUAGAUUAGGACUUUCUAUAUUCCCCCUGCUUUCGUUGAAAAAUGAGUUUAUACAGUUUCAUUCUAAUCUUCUUUCUAAAUACAAUAAACUGAAAAAAUCAAUUUUUUAAAUUAAAUCAACAAACUUAUGAAAGAAAAACUCGAAAAUUGUGUGGACAAAAGUCUACAUACAGUACAAAAACACUUAUUUUAGUACAAUAAUUGUACUUCAUGCUAGAUAUUACUUGUUUUUAGUAUCUAAUUGGGACAUCAUUGACAUCUAUUACCAAUUAACGCCACAGAAUUUUUGAGUUUUUUCUUCAUGACUUUUUUAAUUUAUUUUAAAGAACUUUUUUUUUAGUUUAAUGUGAUUAGAAUGAAUCUGCAUCAACACAUUUUUCUAAAAACUGGUAAUUUCACCCCAACGAAAACAACCUAUAUUAUAUAUAAAUUGUACAUCUGAAAGCAACAAAAAAGUUAUUCUGUUGAAUUCGUACAAAUGAGUGUGUCGAUACCUCAUUAAAAAUUAUCAAAAUUGGUUUUCCACUUUUUGGCCUACUCACAAUGGUCAAAAAGAAUGAAAGGACAAAUUAUUGGAAAAAGAACAAUACAUACAUAUUUUUAUUAUUUUUAACUUGAAAUACAUUUUAAUUGAUUAAAGAAAACGUAAGUCAUAGGGUGCUUUCGAGCUACAUAAUAAUUGCAGCAGUACGGAAUAUUUUGCACUUCUUUCUUGAUGUGUUGCCAAAAAUUUUGCUGAUAUGGAUCAAAAUGGAAAUUGUUUUUUAUUAAAUAAUGAAAAAAAGGAAAAAACGGAAGUUUUAAUUUGAAGUAAUUUUGGAAAAAAGCAAGUUACAAAUAAAAUAAUUAUAUUAACAUUUCUUCUUCCAUUGUGUUGUGUAGUCACUUUUGUGGCCCGGGAGAAUGUUCAAAAAUGAACAUGUGCGUUGAAGCCAAAGGGCAUUACUUUCAAUACGCAUCUAUAUAUUUAAUUUGUUAUUAUACUACAUAUAAAGAAUAAGAAUAGAAAUAUGUAAGAUGAGAAAUAUGUAAGAACAGAUACAGUCCACUACUCUUAAAUAUGUAUGUUCAAAUAUAUUGAAGAGGCAUACAUACAUACAUGAACAGGCAAAUAAACAUGGCCCAGCUUGGUCCUGCGAAGUAGUACUUAACGGUGGUUCCGCAGGUCCAAUUACAAGCUAUAGGAGCCGGAGUUAAGGGUUUAGUACGUAGGCAUACUGUCUCGAAAGUGGGACCUAGUUGAUAAAACUGGUUGGGCGUGGUCCCGAAAGAGGUGUACCCUUAGCGGACAAUGUGAAUCGUGCAUACUGUUAACAUACUUUGACAGUAUCUUUGGAAGAUUCCCAUUUCGGAAACAAAAAAAAAAUAAAAAAUAAACAUAUAUGCAUUUAUAUGCAACACACAUACAAUUAAAUGAGCACAUGCACUCAAAAAUACAAACAUAUUUACUUAAGAUAACCUAUUGACCUAAGAUAUACAUUUAGGCAAUUGAAUACAAAUGUGCAUGUGCACUUGAAAUUAACCCAUGCAUUCCAGCAUAAACAAUAUGCAGCAUAAAUACAAACAUACACACAUACACGUAUAUUUAGAAACUGUAUAUAAAGGUCAGAAAUUAGAAAAUAAAAUUAGAAUGAAAUAGUUCUCACUCAAGCUUGAUGUUUCAAUAUUUUCCCCGACCCGCGGUCAGAGGUAUUUGAAAUCAGCUUGUUUUAAACAAUUGGUCCUUCGAGCCGGAUAGAGAGGUCCGGAGCCGAAGAGAGAUCCAAUUAAAAAGGCCUGCUAUUAGAAUAUAGAGGCACCUGUUACAAAAUUUGGCCGUUAGAGCAGAAUGUGAGCUCAGACAAAUAAAAAGACCUAUGUAUAGAAGAAACACAGGCAGGAAAAAAGUCCUAUACAUGAAUUAGGCAAAAGACAAAAAAAAAAAUCAAUUGAAAAGAUUGUAUGUAAAACGUAUUUGCGAGAGACAAUACGCAUUAGUUAACUGUUAUUCUAAGAAUUACAGCAGCUGUUAGUCGAGGCACAGCAAGAUCAACAAGGCGAUCGAAACAAAAAUCCUCAAAUUCUUUGAAGAAAAAGAACAGUUUGUUUUUUUAUAAAAUUUUAAUAUAAAGGAAAUGUGGAAGUAUGCCGCAUUUGUUGUAGAGUUGGGAGACUCAAAUGUUUUCGCACAAAAAAAGAGGAAAGGAGCUAAAGAGCAGCUCAAAAUACAACAAGCAUCCAAAGGAAUGGAUACAACGGCAAGAGCGUAUAGCCCAAACGAAAAGGUGGCAGACCAUUUAUUGCAAGCAAUUGAUAAAAGAUCGGAAAGAAUUAGAUCUAUAAUUGCAAAGGUAAAAGAAAAUAUAUAUAUUGCUGACGAAGCUGCACUCGAAAGGUAUGAAAAUUGAUUACAACAUUUUCAAAACCUCGUGGAGGAAAAUUUGGAUUUAUCAUAUAAAUACGUCGAGAAAUUUAUUUAUAUUGAAGCAGGUUGAAUUACUGGUUGAAGUCGCUGAAAUACACUGGGCGCUACAAAGACGUUAUUCUUGCGGUUUCACGAAACUAUUACACACAGAUGCUAAUUUGGGCAUCGGUAAUGACGAGGCGACGAUUGUAAGCAGAGGUCAUUUAUCCAGGAGUCACUAUUAUCGCCCGGGAGAAUGUUAAAAAAUGAACAGGAGUCACUUUUGUCGCCCGGGAGAAUGUUCAAAAAUGAACAUGUGGGUUGAUGCCAAAGGGCAUCACUUUCAAUACGGAUCUAUCUAUAUAUUUAGUUUUUUAUUAUACUACAUAUAAAGAAUAAGAAUAAAAAUAUGUAAGAUGAGAAAUAUGUAAGAACAGAUACCCAGUAGCAAAAUAAUUCACUACUGAAAAAAGUAAGCGAGUUGGUAAUGGGUUGCGGGCCAAGAAACGAAAAAAAUUUCGCUUUAAAAUCGUUGUUGUUAUCUUCAAGAAACUCAUAUUCAUAUGAGUUAGUCAUCCGCACAACAGAUCGACCCAGCCCUCUGGGUAUGUGAGCGCUUCAGUACCUAAAUUUCAUAGGAAAUAGGUUGUGUGACAAAACCAAUGCUUUUUUGUUGUUGUUCUUUUCUGAAAAUAAUUGGUAACCGUUAGUCCUGCCACGACGCCGAUGAUUGUUGUCUUUCAAUUUUAAUGAUUGUCGUUUUUAGUAAAUUUUAAGUAUCGGUUGAAAGAGGUCGCGUGUGAAGAUUAAAAGAAAACUAUUUGGAAGUAUUUGCGAACAAACCUCACACUGCAAACGAAGAAACGUUUAAUAUAAAGCAGGUUAACUACAAACUUUUUUACUUUCCAAUUAAUGCCAACGAAUAUUUAUUCAUUCCUAUACUGCAUUCAAUUUAAGUAAAAGUCGAUACACAAAGACUUCACAAAACUUAUUUACUUCAACUCCGGUAUUCAGAUGCAAUGCUACAUUAAGCGAUGAAAACAUUAGUCCAGGUAUGUUAAUAUUAAAAAAAUUUCAACAAAUUUAAUUAACUUUUUGGUGUAGAACUUUUUGACCGAAUUUUUUUUACUUUUUCAAGCCAAAAACUCCAACCCCGGAAACCAAAAAAGUUAAUCUCAGCCCAAACAAGUAAUUUAAUUUGCUAUUGUUUUUUGUAUAUUUGUAGUUCCGGAAAAUACUCAAAAUGAACUGAAUAAAAUCAAGCACAAAAUAGACGAACUUGUGACGAAAUUGGAUGAAGCAAUGCAAGUGGAAGGUUUCACCAAAGGCGAUUAUGAGCGGGAGCUCAAAAGAGCUUUCAAGAUGGGUAAAAACCGAUAUCACAAAGCGGGCUCUUUGAAAAAGCAAAAAGAUAAACAAAUAUAAUAAAUUAAAGUAUGAAAACAAUUAACAGAGGGUAUAUCAGUCUCCUCAACACUUCAUUUUCUAUAACGGAUUUUAUUACAACUACUAUUGAAUCAAAGUACCGUUCUUUUUCUAUAUUCCUUAAAUUCCUUAACGCUAUCUUUUUUUAAAAUGAGUGGAAGUUCAACAGAUUGUAACGAGCCAUCGACCAGCCGAGGUGUUAGAAAAAGUAACGUUUUGACUGCGUCGGAGGUCAAAAUUAUGUGGAAUAUCGGAAAGAUAUUCCACACAUUUGACACCCGCGAAAAAUGUAUAGCUUUUGCUGAGGAGCAGGGAUUGAUUCCGAAUAGUGUGUCGUGUGCA